rnacentral:rRNA from 1 species
GUGAGGAAUUUUCCGCAAUGGGCGAAAGCCUGACGGAGCAAUGCCGCGUGAAGGAUGAAGGCCUAUGGGUUGUAAACUUCUUUUCUCAGAAAAGAAUUAUGACGGUAUCUGAGGAAUAAGCAUCGGCUAACUCUGUGCCAGCAGCCGCGGUAAGACAGAGGAUGCAAGCGUUAUCCGGAAUGAUUGGGCGUAAAGCGUCUGUAGGUUGUUUAAAAAGUAUUCUGUCAAAGAUUAGGGCUUAACCCUAGAUAGGCAGAAUAAACUUUUAAGCUAGAGUGUGGUAGAGGCAGAGGGAAUUCCCGGUGGAGCGGUGAAAUGCGUAGAUAUCGGGAGGAACACCAAAGGCGAAGGCACUCUGCUGGGCCAAUACUAACACUGAGAGACGAAAGCGAGGGGAGCAAAUGGGAUUAGAAACCCCGGUAGUCC